UGGUCAAGUUAUUAAGGGUGCAGGGCGGAUGCCUUGGCACUAGGAGCCGAUGAAGGACGUGAUAAGCUGCGAUAAGCUUCGGGGAGUUGCACGUAAACUUUGAUCCGAAGAUUUCCGAAUGAGGAAACUCACUUAGAGUAAUGUCUAAGUAUCAUUAAGUGAAUACAUAGCUUAAUGAGGGGAACUCAGGGAACUGAAACAUCUAAGUACCUGAAGGAAGAGAAAGAAAUUCGAUGCCGUAAGUAGCGGCGAGCGAACGCGGAUUAGCCCAAACCAAUAAAGUUUUCUUUAUUGGGGUUGCGGACAUAUCAUAACGAAGAGGUAUCGUAAUUGAAGAGGUUUGGAAAGACCCACCACAGAAGGUAAUAGUCCUGUAUGUUAAACGAGAAGACUUUAGAUAUGAUCCAGAGUACCACGGGACACGUGAAACCCUGUGGGAAGCAGGAGGGACCACCCUCCAAGGCUAAAUACUACCUAGUGACCGAUAGCGUAUAGUACCGUGAGGGAAAGGUGAAAAGAACCCCGGGAGGGGAGUGAAAUAGAACCUGAAACCCUGCACUUACAAGCUGUGGAAGCACAUUUCUUGUGUGACCGCGUACUUUUUGUAGAACGGGCCAACGAGUUACGUUAAGUAGCAAGGUUAAGCACUUAAGGUGCGGAGCCGUAGCGAAAGCGAGUUUUAACUGAGCGUUCAGUUACUUGACGUAGACCCGAAACCGGGCGACCUACCCAUGAGCAGGAUGAAGCGAAAGUAAAAUUUCGUGGAGGUCCGAACCCACGAGCG
rnacentral:rRNA from 1 species